rnacentral:rRNA from 1 species
UGGGGAUUAUUGCACAAUGGGAGCAAGACUGAUGAAGCCAUGACGCGUGUGUGAGGAAGGCCGUCGGGUUGUAAAGCACUUUCAGCGGGGAGGAAGGCGUGAAGGUUAAUAACUUUGGCGAUGGACGUUACCCGCAGAAGAAGCACCGGCUAACUCCGUGCCAGCAGUCGCGGUAAAACGGAGGGUGCAAGCGAUAAGCGGAAUGACGGGGCGUAACGCGCACGCACGCGGUCUGUCAAGUCAGUUGUGCGAUCCCCGCGCUCACCCAGGUAACUGCGUUCAAUACUGGCAUGCUAGCGUCUUGUAGAUGGUGGUAGAAUUCCUGCUGUAGCGGUUAACUUCGUAGAGAUCUGGCAGAAUACCUGUGGCGAAGGCAGCCCCCUGGACAAAGCCUGACGCUCAGGUGCGAAAGCGGGGGGAGCAAACAAG